rnacentral:rRNA from 1 species
GAUGAACGCUGGCGGCGUGCCUAAUACAUGCAAGUCGAGCGAACAGACGAGGAGCUUGCUCCUCUGACGUUAGCGGCGGACGGGUGAGUAACACGUGGAUAACCUACCUAUAAGACUGGGAUAACUUCGGGAAACCGGAGCUAAUACCGGAUAAUAUAUUGAACCGCAUGGUUCAAUAGUGAAAGACGGUUUUGCUGUCACUUAUAGAUGGAUCCGCGCCGCAUUAGCUAGUUGGUAAGGUAACGGCUUACCAAGGCAACGAUGCGUAGCCGACCUGAGAGGGUGAUCGGCCACACUGGAACUGAGACACGGUCCAGACGCCUACGGGAGGCAGCAGUAGGGAAUCUUCCGCAAUGGGCGAAAGCCUGACGGAGCAACGCCGCGUGAGUGAUGAAGGUCUUCGGAGCGUAAAGCUCUGUUAUUAGGGAAGAACAAAUGUGUAAGUAACUAUGCACGUCUUGACGGUACCUAAUCAGAAAGCCACGGCUAACUACGUG